UCAAUGCAAUUCUGGGUAAGGGAAUUGGGUACGUCGGCCUGUUGGAAGCCGACGCCCGGAAAAACCGGCCUCUAUUAACCUAUGAUUUCUAAUUUAUUUUAGUUAGAAAAGCCAAAUUAUUUAUUUAUUUAAACCCAACCCAAAUAAAUCGGACCGAGUUCCUAUUUGGAAAAUUAUUUAAUCGUCCCAAACAAAUCUAAUUAUCAUAUAGCAAUUAUUCAAAUUAAAGCAAUUAAACCAAAGCAAUCAAACCAAAUAAAUAAAAGACCCGCU
rnacentral:lncRNA from 1 species